UAUGCACCACGAUCCACAGCCCAAUUAACCAAUCUCAGUCAACUCUCGUGCCUCGCCUCUCGCCUCUCCUCCCUGACUUGCUCCUCCCAAACCCUAUCAGCCGCCACCCGCUCUGGCACUGGCCACUCCCGCGUUUCUCCCUUUACUGCUCCGCCUCUACCUCACCCCCGCUUGUACUCUGCAAGGGCGACUGGGUGGUGCCCGCGGACACAACCCUCGCGAUCCACUAUGGUUGACCUCGAACGACAGCGCCCCUCCCCUGACCUCAACCUCCAGUGGCGGCGUCCACCAUAUCUAGCGCCGGCGGCUCCUCCAGAUUUAGCGUCGACACAGCUGUGCCUUGCCUACAGAAUUGAGCAGAAAGAAAGGAAUAGAAGUUUUUGUUUAGUUUAUGACAGCGAAAGACUACGAGAUCGACGCCGCUGCUGGUGCCCCGACCGACUACGCUGUUGACGACCCCUCC